rnacentral:rRNA from 1 species
AGAACGAACGCUGGCGGCAUGCCUAACACAUGCAAGUCGAACGAGACCUUCGGGUCUAGUGGCGCACGGGUGCGUAACGCGUGGGAAUCUGCCCUUGGGUUCGGGAUAACAGUUGGAAACGACUGCUAAUACCGGAUAAUGACUUCGGUCCAAAGAUUUAUCGCCCAGGGAUGAGCCCGCGUAGGAUUAGCUAGUUGGUGAGGUAAAGGCUCACCAAGGCGACGAUCCUUAGCUGGUCUGAGAGGAUGAUCAGCCACACUGGGACUGAGACACGGCCCAGACUCCUACGGGAGGCAGCAGUGGGGAAUAUUGGACAAUGGGCGAAAGCCUGAUCCAGCAAUGCCGCGUGAGUGAUGAAGGCCUUAGGGUUGUAAAGCUCUUUACCCGGGAUGAAUAAUGACAGUACCGGAGAAUAACGCCCCGGCUAACUCCGUGCCAGCAGCCGC